rnacentral:misc_RNA from 1 species
GAUGAAGAACGUAGCGAAAUGCGAUACGUAAUGUGAAUUGCAGAAUUCAGUGAAUCAUCGAGUCUUUGAACGCACAUUGCGCCCCCUGGUAUUCCGGGGGGCAUGCCUGUCCGAGCGUCAUUGCUGCCCUCAAGCACGGCUUGUGUGUUGGGCCCCGCCCCCCGGUCUCGGGGGGCGGACCCGAAAGGCAGCGGCGGCACCGCGUCCGGUCCUCGAGCGUAUGGGGCUUCGUCACCCGCUCUGUAGGCCCGGCCGGCGCCCGCCGGCGACCCCAAUCAAUCUAUCCAGGUUGACCUCGGAUCAGGUAGGGAUACCCGCUGAACUUAAGCAUAUCAAUAAGCGGAGGA